rnacentral:tRNA from 1 species
GGCUGGAUAGCUCAGCGGUAGAGCACACGUUUCAUAAGCGUAAGGUCGUGGGUCCGAAUCCCGCUCCAGCCACAA